rnacentral:rRNA from 1 species
CAGCCGCCGCGGUAAUACGUAGGGUGCGAGCGUUAAUCGGAAUUACUGGGCGUAAAGCGUGCGCAGGCGGUUUUGUAAGACAGAGGUGAAAUCCCCGGGCUCAACCUGGGAACUGCCUUUGUGACUGCAAGGCUAGAGUACGGCAGAGGGGGAUGGAAUUCCGCGUGUAGCAGUGAAAUGCGUAGAUAUGCGGAGGAACACCGAUGGCGAAGGCAAUCCCCUGGGCCUGUACUGACGCUCAUGCACGAAAGCGUGGGGAGCAAACAGGAUUAGAUACCCGUGUAGUCCCUGUCUCUUAUAC